rnacentral:tRNA from 1 species
AGGUUAUAGUUUGAAAGGUAAAAUAGCCGGUUGUCAUCUGGGCGUUAUGGGUUCGAUUCCCAUUAACCUC